AGCAGCCGCGGUAAUUCCAGCUCCAAUAGCGUAUAUUAAAGUUGUUGCAGUUAAAAAGCUCGUAGUUGAAUUUCGGGGUUAGUAGGUUGGUCAUGCCUCUGGUAUGUACUGGUCUCACUGAUUCCUCCUUCCUGAUGAACCGUAAUGCCAUUAAUUUGGUGUUGCGGGGAAUUUGGACUGUUACUUUGAAAAAAUUAGAGUGUUUAAAGCAAGCUAACGCUUGAAUACAUUAGCAUGGAAUAAUGAAAUAGGACGUUCGAUCUUAUUUUGUUGGUUUCUAGGAUUGACGUAAUGAUUAAUAGGGAUAGUUGGGGGCAUUAGUAUUCAAUUGUCAGAGGUGAAAUUCUUGGAUUUAUUGAAGACUAACUACUGCGAAAGCAUUUGCCAAGGAUGUUUUCAUUAAUCAAGAACGAAAGUUAGGGGAUCGAAGACGAUCAGAUACCGUCGUAGUCUUAACCAUAAACUAUGCCGACUAGGGAUCGGAUGAUGUUAAUUUUUAAUGACUCAUUCGGCGCCUUAC
rnacentral:rRNA from 1 species